UGGGGAAUAUUGGACAAUGGGCGAAAGCUUGAUCCAGCAAUGCCGCGUGAGUGAUGAAGGCCUUAGGGUUGUAAAGCUCUUUUACCCGGGAUGAUAAUGACAGUACCGGGAGAAUAAGCCCCGGCUAACUCCGUG
rnacentral:rRNA from 1 species